AUUGAACGCUGGCGGCAGGCCUAACACAUGCAAGUCGAACGAGUGGCGGACGGGUGAGUAAUGUCUGGGAAACUGCCUGAUGGAGGGGGAUAACUACUGGAAACGGUAGCUAAUACCGCAUACGAUUGAGCGGCCGAUAGCAGAUUAGGUAGUUGGUGGGGUAAAGGCCCACCAAGCCAACGAUCUGUAGCGGUCUGAGAGGACGACCAGCCACAUGGGACUGAGACACGGCCCAGACUCCUACGGGAGGCAGCAGUGGGGAAGUUUGGACAAUGGGCGCAAGCCUGAUCCAGCCAUGCCGCGUGCGGGAAGAAGGCCUUCGGGUUGUAAACCGCUUUUGUCAGGGAAGCGGUACCUGAAGAAUAAGCACCGGCUAACUACGUGCCAGCCGCCCGGUAAUUC
rnacentral:rRNA from 1 species